rnacentral:lncRNA from 1 species
CCAUCUCAUCCUUCCUUGAAACACUCUUAAGCAAAGAAAAGCCGAGUUCUUACCUUGUAAAACAAGAUAAAAGGACUCCAACAAAUCUACAGCUUCUCCACUCUAUCAAGUCCAGUUAAUAACAGGGAAAAUUUCAAGAACAGGGCAUGCUUGGAACCUUAUUUGAUAAAGAAAGCACAAUGUUCGGCAAUCUAUAGAAGGCCUUCACAUUUUGUACAAACGUCAGUCCAAAUGCCCUUCACAUUUGGCCUAAAAACCUGAACCCUUUAUUGAUUAGGGCUUCAAGGGCGCCCUUUUCCAUAAUAAUUCUACAGCAAAUUGCAGGAAACAGAAGACAAUGUGCAUCUAUCAUCCAACAACGCAAUAACCAAUCUAUCACAACAAAUUUACUUCUUUCCUCUUCCUCCUCAUGUUUUCAAGCGAAUAGUACCCAAAUUUGGACCCAACCAAAAAAAAGGGAAAAGCGAGUGCAGUAAAGGUCUUUAUCAUAUUCUAAUCAAAGUGCCAAACAGAGCUAAAUUACAGAGAAACUUCAAAAAUGAAAGAGGAAAAAAGAUACAAGCUUUUUUGUUUUUUUAAUAUAGAAAAAACCCCAUAUGAACUGAAGAAACUCUACUCAGGAUUGGGAUUUUACUCCUCCUCACCAUUUCCUCAAAAGCUAAGCUGAAAAUUCUCCCUUUCUUUUUCGCCAACUAUUUUUCCGUCAAAAGACUACGCGAAAUUGAGGGGCGUCGGAGCCUUGAGCCGGCAGAAUCUCCCAGCGGCAAGGUUCGAGCUCGUCAGAAACAGGGCAGAAGCCGGCGAGGGUGACCUUAUCGGCAGAAGCGGCAAUGGAACCGAAUUCGAAAACGGUGAUAUCAGCUGGUGGUGGGCCAGGCCGCCGGACCUCCACUGCUCCGUUCAUGCCGGGAACUUCAGAAGCGGAUUGGGUUUUAACCGGUUCGGAUGUUUGGGUCGCGGGUUUGGAGUUGGUAUCGUUUUUGGUUCCCUUGAACCAUGAAAAAAUACCCAUUGGUGGUGAAUCAGUUAUGUUGCUUACAAAAUGAACUUCCAGAGAGAGAAAGGGUGCAGGGAUUCUAGGCAUUCCAGUUUUAUUUGAGGAAGAAAUCAAGAAAGAGGAUAGCUUUCGUUGAGGGCAAAAUGACGACAAUGCCAUUUAAUUUUUGUUACUAGUAUCAUAUUUUGGGACAGAAAUAGAAGGAUAUUUAACUAUUAGAUGAUCAUAUGGACUAUGGAGUAUUUAGAUUUCCAAUGUUAUUUCCCUGUAUAAUAAACCAAGGAAAAUCUGAUGCAUUUUUUAUUUUUCUCUAUCUGGUUUGGAAAAAUGGAUCUAGAAAGCUACUACAUAUUUUGGAUUUGUUAGUGAAAUUGUUUUGAACUCUAUAAAUAGAGUAAUUUCAUGUUAUAAGUUUAGUUAGUUUUUACAAAGAAAUAAACUCUUGUCCUUUAUUUCUUUUAUUAUUUUUCUCAAUAAUUGUAACAUUUUCAAUAUUAUUUCGCUGUAUAAUAAACUAAGGAAAAUCUGAUGCAUUUUUAGAAAGCUAGAAUUCAUAUUUUUGGAUUGAGGAAUAAACGCCAUGAUUAUGUGGCAAGUUAUUCAUGUAGCAUGAUGGAUGGAUUAAUUUGCAUUUUGGCCUUCAACUCUUUGGUGAGCUGCAUCUGCUGUGAGUCACCCUUUAUUUGUUUAGUAUUUUUUUUCUCUUACAUACACAGCCAUUUUUGUGCUCCUAAAAAAGUGGCAAAUCCAGAGAAACUUUUAGAAAUAAAUCAAAAUUGGGAUCAGACCCUUUUGUUAUCUAAAAUUGAAGAGUGAAAAGAGGGUUGUCAUUCUCAAAUUUCGCACAAUGCUAUAGCCAUUGCAAUCUUUAUGUAGACUUAUGGGCAAAUUGAUUCCUGUACUCAGUUAUCAUUGAGCUCAUGAUCUCACAAGAAUGCUUCAUUUGCUGAAGUUAAAAUUGAAGAAAAACAGUUUAAAAAAAAUACAUUAACAAAAUGCAGCAUAUGAACAAGAUGAUGAUGCAAUGCAACGUACUACACGCAGUGGAGAAGAUAGAAAACAGUGUCGUCAACAACAGGGAGGGAAAGCAAACAAAGAGAAAGGAAAGCCACAGGAUGUUUACUUCUUCUUCCCCCAUAGCCGGCGGCUUCUCCAUUUCCCAUCAUCGGCAUAGAAACCAAUGACAAUUUCAGGAAUGUGUGCCAUUCUUCUGUAAUCUUCCCUGUCUUCCUUCUGAUUCCCCACCUUCUCUAUCAGUCGAGAACUCAUCUCAUACAAAGACAGCCGUUGAAGAUGGCUCAAGUGCUGAAUUCCCGAAGGUAAGUCCUCUAGUGAUGGAAGCUGUCUCAGAUGUAGUCUUUGGAGAUAAGGGCAUGCACCCUCCUCCACUGUCAUCCAUCUCAACCCUUCCAUUCUCCUUAACCACAAUUGUUUCAGCUUUAGGAAGCCUCCAGCCUUGAAACUCAACCUUUCUCCCUGGUAAGAUCCACAGAAAGUAAUUUCACCCAAAUUGGGCAAAUGUUGGAAGGAUUCAAGUGGAUCCUCCUCAGCCCUCAACCCGCUCCAGAUCAUAAGUAUUUUUACCAAGUUUUGAAGAUGAGUUAUCCACACUGGCAUCGUUUCUAAGCGGCCACACAUAAUUAGCAUACGAAGAGAUUGAAGAAACGAACAAGAAGAAGAAGAAGAAAGAGAAUGUUGAUGAUGAUUUAGAUCUAUUAUCUCAGAAUCAUCACCUUUUCCAAUUGAUUCAAUGCUUAAUUCCCGAAGGCUGGUGAGGUUGACAAGGGAGGAGCAGAGCUCCUUUCCAUCUUCUCUUCUCAACUGUGUAAUAUAUAACUCUCUUAAUUGGGUCAAUUUUCCUAUCUCUUUAACUAUUACAGACCCGCUGCUUGCAUCUACGGUGUUUAAUGUUUGUAGAGCGAGAAGCCCUCCCAAUUUUGACGGACCUUUAAACCCAUGAAAUCCAUAAUCACUAUCUGAGGGAUCAACUCGUUGGAAUACUGUGAGAUGCCGAAGCUUUUGCAGCUUUAGGAUUUCCACGGGUAAUUCCCUAACUCCAGUGUUCCCCAAAUUCAGAUGUUCCAAAUGUUGAAGCUUUCCAAUAGCUCUCGGGACUCUUGCCACUUUUGUACCAUAUAGGCUCAGAAACGUGAGAUGCAACAAGUCGAAAACCUCAUUUGGUGUUUCCUCUAUCUCUUCACCUCGCAAUUCCAAAACCUUUAGCAACUUACUACUCCUUAGAACUUCAGAUAGGAAAGUUUUGGAUAGCAAUGGGUUGGUGGAACUAACUGCGAUGAAUGAUCGAAGGUGUUCAAAAGAAUAAAAUUGUCUUUGUUGGUGGUAUUGGAUGAUGCUGCUGUUGCAACUACUAUGGAUUGCUAGACGGCGUACCUUCUCAGAUGGCCACGUCAUUGGUUGUCCAGUAGUAACUGUGACCAUGUUUUGUUCCCUUGACUUGAUGAGAAUAACUUCUCUCAUUAAGUCAUGGAUUCGACACGUGUUGGGUGAUCCUUCAUAAAACACUUCAGUUACUUGAAUUAGGCUUCUACUGAUGAGUUCACUGAGAUAGCCCCAGGCUACAUCUUCAAUACUCAUUCCUUCUCUCCAUUCUACAAAUCUUUCAGCAAUCCAUAAUUGAAUCAGCCUCUGGCAUGCUAUUAGAUGAUCCUCCGGAUAAAUGCUUAAAUACAACAGACAGGGUUUGAGAUGCGAAGGCAGAUCGUUGUAACUCAGAGAAAGUAUUCUUUUAACUCUCUCUAGCUUACCCCCAAGAUUGUGUUGAAUCAUCUCCCAUUCAUCUAUUCUGCUCACGUCCUUCGAAGCCAAGAGCCCACCGAUCGCAAGAAUCGCCAAAGGCAAACCGUCACAUUUAUCCAAUACAGCUUUUGCAACAUUCAUCAGGUGGGUGGGGCAACGAUUUCCUUUAAAGAUCUUGUUACAAAAUAGGGUCCACGAAUCUUCAUUUGAUAGUGGCUUCAUUCUGUAGACAUAAUCCUGAGAUUCUGUACAAGAGGUAGAGGCUACAUCGGCAUUUCGUGUUGUUAGCAUGACACGAUUGCCGUAGUUACCCUCAGGCAGUGCAAAUUUGAUUUUAUUCCAAAAUUCCACGUCCCACACGUCAUCAAACACAAUUGCAUACCUUCCAGCUUGUUGAAGAAAAUCUUUGACAAUUUCUUUCAGCUCAGCGGUAGUCAUGGACUCGAUCGAUUGUGGGACUGAUUUGUCCAAGUCCUUGUGCAACUUCCGAAUCAAGUCUCUCAGGAGCUUUGGAAAGUCGCAUGUUUGAGAGACGGUUACCCAUGCACGAACUGGAAAAUUCUUUCUAACUUUUGGAUCUUCAUGGACCUUUUUGACUAGGGUAGUUUUCCCUAGUCCAGCCAUACCAACCACUGAAAUAACUUUGAGUUGGUAAUCGUGCCCCUCGAGAAGCAUAGAAAUCAGAUGUUGUUUGGGCUGGUCAAUGCCAACCAAUUUUGCUUCCUCCACUAGAAGUGCAUCAUCCCUGCUAUAGAGCCGCGAGCCUUUCAUGGUUGAAGAUCCAGUGACACGGUGAUCGAUGCCAAAUUCAACUUGGUAUCUCUGACAUCGUUCUGAAAUAUUUUUUAUCCUGGACUUGAUGCUUUGAAUUUCACUGGCAACCUGAUGACGAGCUGGCAAGCUCUUAAUGGCUUUGAGAAUUCUCUGCAGGGAGCCACAGAAUCCAUGAUGUCUGUGGCCAGCAAAGCGAAGUACAAAUUCAUCGAGAACAUCUUCAAUGUCAUAAGCAGCUCCGCGCACUUGCUUGAUCCAUUCUUGGAGCCUGGGAUUAGAGGUGUCAAAAUGAGUGACUUGAGCGGGUUUAGAUAGGGUAAAAUGGGUAAUGGAUAUAAGUGAGUCAAUCCAUUUAUAUCCAUUUUAUUAGAUGUGUAUAAAUGGGUAAGUCAAGAAAUGAAUUGGGUAACCCAAUUAUCCAUUUAUAACCAUUUAUUUUAACUUUUUGGAAACUCAUUAAAAUUCUUUUUCGCAAACUAAAUUAUCAAUUUAUACCGCUCUUUAUACCCAUCAUUAAUUUUAAAUAUUUACUUAUAAUGCUCAAUAAGUUUAAUUACCAAUUUUUUUUCCAUUGACACUCUAUGUCGCAAAAUUACAUAUUAUUUAAUAAUUGAAUAAUAAGAAUAUAAAAAUUUGAACUAAAUACUAUAAAAAUUAAUAUAAAAACUUAAUCUAAAAAUUUUGAACCCCUAACAUUUUUUUCAUAUGUAAAUUUAAAUUUUCAUUUUAGUAAGAUAAGAAAAGAAGCUAAAACUUAUCAUAAAUUAGUAAUGCUGAAAAAUGAUUAAGUAAACAAACUAAGAAAAAAUAAAAUAAUAAGAUAAACCAACAAAUAAUAAUAAUAAUGAAACAAAAAUAGUUAACAUCAUGACAAAAUGAAAAAUCUAAAAAAAAAAUGGGUGGAAAAAGAGAAUUCUAAAUGAAUUAAUUGAAUUUAAUGGGUUAUCUAAUAAUAUAAAAAAAUUUAAAAUACCCGUACCCAUUAUUCAUAGACGAAUAUGAGUAAAUUUAAUUAAAUGGAUUGAUUUGCCACCUAUACCUGGGCUCAUCAUCUUCUUUUGGUUCAGCCACUUUGAGGAAAGCUCUCAUCUGCCCCAACUCAUCCAUGAUGAAUUGGACCUCUUCUCGAAGCCCUCCCAACAGGCUUCCCUCCUCUCGGAGUAAGGUUGCGAGAUGAUUUGAAACAAGAGAGACAACAGUUUCUGCCAUUUGUAUUGUUUUUUGUUAUAUAUAUAUUUUUUUCAAGAAGAAGAAGAAGGAGGCAGGGUUUUAGCUUCUUUUUAUAUGGUUAUGAGUAGAAGAAUGGUUUUAACAUCAAAUAUUUUUGGGUGCCUGAGAAGGAUUUAUUAUAUAGGAAGGAAGGCCUUGGUGGGGAUCAGGUAGAUUCCAUCGGAAGUAAUGCUCUUUCUCUACCUUCCUUGUUCCCCAUGGUUUGGAAUUUGUAGAAAGAAAGUUGAAAUGAUUUAUUCUUUCUUCACGUUCGAAAAUUAGUAUCAUAGUUAGAGCUGAAGCACCACUUUAGGAAUAAAUCAGACCUUACGAGUAAGAAAAGAGAUAGACAAACAUGGCUUUAUUCUUCUUGUCCUUUUUAUUCUUACGUCAAGUCUUAGCUAUAUCAUCUUCAAAGGCUCUCAAAUAUAAGAAGCACAUUCUCAUUGAGUCUCUGUUAUUCUCAUCUAUUAUUCUCAUUGAGUACUACCAAAGUAUGAGGAAACAAAUUCAGUAGCAGGUUAUUUGUCUUUUCUAUUUACAACGUUUGAUGCAAGACAACUUUUGCAAUGAAUGAGGCUAACCAAAAAAAUAUACAUAUAUUUUGGAAUUAAGGGGAGAGAAUCUACUUUAUAGAAAGCAAGAAUUUUUCUUCUUACAGUAAAUCAGGCUAACUGUGCUAUUAUUAAGAACCCCUCCAGUUAAUGUUGGCCAAGAAUUAUUCACGAUUUACCUUCUUCUUGCAAUAAUUUAUUCCGUAGGGUAGAUAGAAUCAACUUGAAAUGUUGUUUGGAUAGCAAAUUUUUCUUCAAAAAUUUUUCGCUUCCAUCAUAAACACAUUUCUCAAUCCAUCUUUUUAUAUUCCCAAUCAUAUUUUUAUCUCACAUAUAUCGCAUCAGAAAAAAUGUUACAGUAAUUAUUCCAAAUAAUUAUUUGAAAUAAUACUCUAUCCAAAUAUUCUUUCUUCAAUACUGCAAAUGAGUAUCAUUUAAGGUUGAAGCACCACUUUUGGUGUCAAUAAUAAGAUAAAUAAAGAUGGCUUCAUUCUUCGUAUCCAGAAUAUUCUUACUUCAACUCUUCUGUUAUCCUCUUUGACAGCUUUCGAAGGAAAGAAUACACUUUCUCAAUUAAUCUCUGUUAUUCUGUGUCAGCGUGACAUUGCUUAUACCUGGUGCCAAGUAUUGUUGCUUAUGAUAUUUCAUAUGCAUAAAUUUCAUUUUCACCAGAUAGAAUAUUGUAAGUGAGACCAAACCAUGCUUCAAAAAAUCCAGUUCAAUUUCUGUGUUGCCCCAACAUAAAGAAGAAAAUAAUCAUGGACUGUUGAAACAAUUAUGGUUUGUAACUUAAUUCCGAUAAAACUUUAAUAAGUAACACCCAUUAUCAGGAUUUAAGUAAUCUAGUUAAAACAACCAGACAUGACGAAUUUUUUUUCCAGAUUUAAGGAUUUCCAUUGGUCACCCCCUGGCAAUAGGAUCACCCAAAUUCUGAAGCUCUCAAAUGCAUGUGGAAUUGUUUUUAACUUUUUGUUCUCCUUCAUUUGGGAUUUCGUUAAAUUCGCACCUCCAAAAUCCAAAACCUUAAUCAACUUACCUGAUAAGAGAACAGAUUUUGGAUAGUGACUCCAUGGACCAAUCUAUUAUCUUUUACUAUAUUAAAAGUUCGAUGAGUAUUGGCAUCAUAUGUUAUAAGCACUUUUUUAUCUUAGUUUUUGUUGUAUCCAUAUCACCCUCAUCUUUCAAUUAGAGUUAUUACAUUUUAAUUUUGGUAGUAAUUAAAAAUACGAAACAUUUCAAUUGAUUAAACCUCAAUAAUAAUGAUAAUUAAGAUGAAAAAACUCCCUAUUAAAACUAUUUAGCGACCCUUGUACUCCAUCUUCAAUUCCUAUAUGUGUCAAAGUUUCUUAUCCAAAGCAAUUUCUUACUUGAAAUUAUGUGACCAAUUGCAUUAGCCACAAUUUUGAUAUCGUAAAAAAUAUUAGUAUAAAAAAAAAUAGGUGCUCUUGGGAAAAAAGAGAAAUAUAUAAGAAGAAAAGAGUCCAUAUUCAUUUGAAGAAUCUUGAUAUGAAUAUCGUGUGACAGAUAUAUAAUUACGUGCUUUUUAUCGGUGUGAAGAAAUGCUAAGAGAAAAGAACAAAUAAAAGAAUCCAACCAUUUCUAUCAAUUGAAUGUCAAUAGACAACUAAUAGACAAUGUAAGAUAAUUAAGCAGUAUAGAUCAUUUACAUUCUUUAUUAACCUCAAUAACACUUAAAAAUGUAAAUAUUCCAAAUUCAAUAAUACGCCUCACAUUAUUCAAUUCAAAUUCACAAAAAGAAAUAAAAGUUCAACUAGAAAGAUAUAACGUAGAAUAAGUAAAUGUUCAUGCGAAAUUAGAUAUUAGCACAGUUCAUAUAUUUUAUUCUUAAAUAAUUAUUCAUUCUAAUUAUACAAUUGCAUUUCAUUUGUCUUAACAAGGAAAAAAAUAACAUUCAAAAUGUUAUGGCAAAUAACAUUCAAAAUGUUUAUACAAAAUUUUCAUUUGUUAAAAUUUAUUGAUUUCAUUAGAAACUUAACCAUGGAUUUUAUUUUUAAGUAAAAAAAAAGGCAAGUCUAGACUCUGAUUGGUUAGUGAGCAAGCUUUCCAAGGGGUAAAAAAAGGGGUGAGUGUGGUAAAAAUAAUUAGAAUGACUGAUAGAACGGUUAUUUGGCGUAUUUUGCACUGUUAUUUUGUCCUAAUUUUGGCUAUUCACGGUACUAAGAAUUGGAAUUUCACUCAUAUUCGAUAUUUGUGUGAAUUGUAGGUGGUAGGCAUGAAAAAUGAUCUCGCGGGGUAAAUUUUCAGAAGACUUUCCGUCUCAGGGCGUGGCCACGCCUUAGAAGGUGGACGAAACCGAAAGCCGGACUGUGGUCCACGUGAACCGCGAGAAACAUGGGAUAAAAACUCCAAAAGGAUAGCUUUUGUUAGAUGAAUUACUCCAGACGUCUCCUUUCUUUACUUUCUUUUGGGCGGCGGCUAUAAAGAGAAAAGCAAGAUUCAAAAAGUGAAAAGAGACCCUAGCUUUAGCUUCAGAAGUCAGACGCUUUUUAUUUAUUCUUUUGCUCUCCGUCGGCCGCAAUUAGAUUAGUUUUGAGUUUUCUUUUUCUUCUCUUUCAGUCAGAUGUAUUUCUUUUUUCUUUUAGCUUUCGUCUUGUACGGCUUGACUCCUGAGUUGUUACUCUUGCUUGAGACAAUUCGCGUUGAAUUUCUGCUUUGUGAUUGCGACCCCAAUUCUUCGGCAAAUAAUCGAAUGAAUUCAAUUAAAUCACGCGAGAUUGACACGAUGAGGAGCGGCUAAUUUCCUCCUCUACCCAAAGGUUGACGCAAAGGCGCGGUCCAUAAUAUCUGUGAGAUCUAAUCGAAUCUUCAUUAUUUCUUUCAUUUUAUUGCUAUUCGUGCAUUUCCUGAAUUAAUUGUUCAUGGGUAUUUUAUUAAUUGAAUAUCAACGGCCGGGUAUUUGAUUUAAUUUAAUAGCCUACUGCCACGUUAAUUAAAUAGAAUCCGUAAUUGUUCAUUUAGUUAACACCCCGUGGCAACCACCAUAAUUGGCUUUAUGAUGGGGAAACGCAAUAUCUAAUUUAAAUAAACCCUCUUAGCGUGUUUAUUGGUUAGGGUUGUGUUCUUCUAGUUUUAAUGCAAUUGGGUAAUUAAAUUCCUACGGUCGUACCUAGGGUUGUUAUCUGGUUAGAGAAGCAGUCAAUAGUCGUACCUUGACUGUCGAAAAAGUAAGGAAGAACUGGUUGUCAGAGCUUAUUGAUAACUAUAACCAACCUAGCAAGGAAUAGAUGAAAUAUCUUUGCAUCGAUGAUCAUUUAAUUGGACCGUGCCUGAGCAGUUGAUCCUUUGGGUAGAACUUUUAUCAAUUGCUAUUUUUAUUGAAUUGUGCUUUGUGAGUUAGUUUUGAAUUUAGUUCGCUUUAUUUUUAUUUUACUUGUAUUCUAUUUAUUUAUCUCCCAUUGAAAAUCCCUCAAUUUUGUUCUACUAAUUUGGAAAGAAAUAAUUUCCUACCCGCUCCCUGUGGAAUCGACCCUACUUGCCAUUGUAUGCAAAAUUAAUAUUUUUAUAGACAAAUCCGGUAUAUCGGAUCAAGCAAACUCUUCGGGAACAGGGUGAAUCAAGUAACCCAUUGCACACCUAGGGUCCCUGCUCCAGUACUUGGAUUUGUUUUAUAAUUAUUUAAUUGAGGUGGUAAUUAGGACUUUUUAGUAAUUAUUAUUGCACAGGCUCGGCACCUGUCAAUUUUUGGCGCCGUUGCCGGGGAGCUGGCGUUUGAAUUUUUUGUUUCUUUUCAAAUUCAGUUUUUGUUUUAUUUUUAUUUUAUUCUAUUCUUUUUGGUAUUUUUGCUAGUUUAUGCCCCGUUCUUCUCGCACAGGUGAAUUAGUAUACGACCCUGAGGUUGAGAAGGCAGCACGUAGGCGGAGGCAAGAGACCAAGAGGCAAAAAGAAGGGCACUUACUUGCUGCAAACGAGUCAUCGGAAGACGAAAUAAGCAUGGCCAACACCCAAAUAUUGAGGGAAUUGGCUGCCCCGGAACUGACUCACCAGCCCUUAUGCAUCACAUUCCCCACUCUGGUUGAGAAUAUUGCUUUCGAACUGAAGUCGGGGCUGAUUCACCUCUUACCUUCUUUCCAUAGUCUCUCUGGUGAAGAACCCUACAAGCACGUUAAGGAGUUCGAGAUGGUUUGCUCUAGUAUGAAGCCUCCUGGGGUCACUGAAGAGCAAAUUAGACUGAGAGCCUUUCCAUUCUCUCUCAAGGAUGCAGCUAAAGAUUGGCUGUACUACCUACCAGCAGGUAGCAUUACCACAUGGGCACAGUUGAAAAAGAAGUUUUUGGAGAAAUUCUUCCCUGCAUCCCGGGCUGCGAGUUUGAGGAAGGAAAUCUGCAACAUUAAACAGUAUCCCGGGGAGUCCUUGUAUUACUAUUGGGAAAGGUUUAACAAGUUGUGCACUAGAUGCCCGUAGCAUCAAAUUAGUGAACAACUGUUAAUCCAAUAUUUCUAUGAAGGACUCCAGUCAACUGAUAGGAGUAUCAUCGACGCUGCGAGUGGGGAGCGCUGGCAAAUAAGACCCCGAGGGAAGCAUGGCUGCUUAUUGAAGCUAUGGCAGAGAAUUCUCAACAGUUUGGCUUCCGUGAGAGUAACCCUACCCGCAGGGUUAAUGAGGUGGAGUCGACAUCUAUUCAGCAACAGUUGUCAGAGCUCACAUCCGUUGUUCGACAAUUAGUUGUGGGGAAUGUGCCCCAAGUAAAGGCCUGUGAAAUCUGUACAAAUAUGGGCCACCCUACUGACUCAUGCCCUAUAUUGCAAGAGGAUGGGGCGGAACAAGUGAACAUGGCUGGAGGCGUGCCCGCGCCUCAUAGGCAAUACGAUCCAUACUCCAACACGUACAAUCCGAGUUGGAGAGAUCAUCCCAAUUUCAGCUAUGGAAAUAGGCCACAAAAUGCAUUCUCCAAUCGUCCACCAGGAUUUCAGCAAUCAUGGCAACCGAAACCGCAACCCUCAUCCUCCAACUCAGGAAGUUCCUUGGAGAAUAUUGUCAAGAGUCUGGCUACGACUACCGCCCAGAUCCAGUAAGAGACUAGACAGCUCCAGCAGGAGACCAGGUCAUUGACCACAAAUAUGGCUCAACUCCAGCAAGAAACUAGAGCCUUAACCAUGAGCACCAAUCAGUUCCAGCAAGACACAAAAUCAGGCAUGAAGGAUAUGGAGGCUCGAAUAAGCCAAAUGACAACUGCCAUCAAUCGCUUGGAGUCCCACAUCUAUGGAAAAUUGCCAUCGCAACUUGAGGCAAACCCCAGAAAUGUAAGUGCCAUGACAUUAAGGAGUGGCAAAGAGGUGGAUGGACCUAAAUUGGUAAAUUCGAAAAGCAAAAGUGAGGAGGAGAUUGAAAAGAAAGGGCGCAUUCGCGAAGAGCCUAAGGUAACGUCUAUUCCUUCGAUCCCUAUUAAAUCUAAUAUAGCUCAUUUUCCUUGCAGGUUGGAAAAGACAAAGAGGGCAGAAAAGGAAAAAGAAAUCCUGGAUGUGUUCCGCAAAAUUCAAGUAAACAUCCCCCUAUUGGACGCGAUCAAGCAGGUACCCAAGUACGCAAAGUUCUUGAAGGACUUGUGCGUCAACAAAAGAAAGCUAAGGAGUGAUGAAAGAGUGAUGGUAGGAGAGAAUGUAUCAGCUGUACUUCAAAGGAAACUCCCACCCAAAUGCGGAGAUCCAGGUAUGUUUGCUAUCCCCUGUAAGAUUGGUCAUUCUAGUAUCAAAAAUGCCAUGAUAGAUUUAGGAGCUUCUAUUAAUGUGAUGCCUAAGUCAAUCUAUGAUUCCCUAAAUUUAGGACCUUUAAAAGAAACGGGGAUAAUAAUUCAAUUGGCUGAUCGUACAUGUGCUUAUCCGGAUGGGAUAGUUGAGGAUGUUUUAGUGCAAGUAGAUGGAUUAAUUUUUCCUGCUGAUUUUUAUGUGCUUUACAUGGAUGAUAGAAGUGCCCCAAAUCCAUCACCCAUUAUAUUAGGAAGACCAUUUUUGAGUACUGCCCAAACUAAAAUUGACGUUAGUAAGGGUACUCUCACGAUGGAAUUUGAUGGAGAAAUAGUCCACUUUAAUAUUUUUGAUACAAUGAAACAUCCUGUUAACUCUCAUUCUGUGUUUGCUAUGUAUACCACUAAUCCCUCUGUGCAAGAAUUUUCUAAAUUUGCUUAUAGGGGUAAAUCCAAGGUUGCUGCGAACAAGUCCUAUAGGAUGAAAGCAAUUCAUGAGGUAAAAAUGGAGAGAAAAUUUAGGAAAAAAGUUGCACUCAAUGGCCAUGUGGAUCCUGGAGGAGGGCCACCAAUUACAAGGAAAAUUCAAUUACAUCCAGACUAAAGAGUGGUGCUGUGUCUAGCCAAAGACAUUAAAGAAAGGCGCUGCUUGGGAGGCAACCCAAGGCUUCUUUUGUUUUAGUUUUCUUAUAUUUUUUAAGUUUUUGUUAAGCGUUAGUGUCAUUUAGUGGGUUGUUAUUUUGUGACAGGAAGUUGGUAGCUAGACAUGCCCAUGCUAGGUCAUCACACCUAAGGAAUGGGGUUUUGGAAUUGACGGUCAGACGACUAUAACUUCUAAGGCGUGCCCACGCCUUCCAACCCUUCCGAAAAAGAAAGUUCAGUCUUCUCCUUCCUAUUGGUGUUGCGUCCGCCGCCACCACACCACCUUGUGCACGCAGCCGCCUCACCCCCCUCCGCCUUAGUAUCUCAUUUUCCCUCCCCGGAGUCAGGGAAGUUUCUCUUCUUUCCUCCUAUUACUUUAUUUUGUCUCUUCUACAUUGAGGACAAUGUAGGUCUUAGGUGUGGGGGGAGUGGCUUCCAUUAGUUCUUUUUCACUAGUUCUUUUUGCUUUGUUUUUUAAAAAAAAAAUGAAAACAUGGGAUGAAUGAAAAAAAAAUGAAAAACAUUGUAGUUAGUCGGCUUUUUGGUUAUUUAUAUACUUGUUAGUGUUGGGGCAUGUUGCUGUGAUAAAUGACAUAAUCAAAGUGAGUGGGUAUGUAGUCGGAUAUGCUAGCUGUGCAUUUUGCUUCCCUUGACAAUGUCGUUGAAUGUUGAAUAUGCUGGAAUUGACUCAUUUUUGAAACUUUUGGGAGCUUUUGAACCUUGCUUGAGUAUGUUAUUCUUGUUUGCUCGAUUUUGUUUGAUUGAGUGGGUAUCGCACAUGGUAUGAACAUUCUGGAACUUGCUAUUUUAUACAUGUCAAGACCACAUUCUGUUGAACUAGAUGCAUUUGAAAUGAUAAGGGCAUUUAGGAUUUGACCUCUUUGAGCUUUCGAAAGAAAAUCAUGCAUUCACCUUGUUUCCCAAUAGUGAACCAAUUUGAGCUUUAUCCUUCGCUUUUGGUUGUUACCCAUGUUCGUUAACCCGAGACCUCUUUAAACUUUCUUGUUUAUCCCUGUGUUGUCAAGGGAUGUCUGAAAUCCAUCAUUUGUGCAAAGCAAAUAAAUUUGGGGUUGCAAGUGCUGUUAGAUUAGGAGCUGUAUGAUUUUAUCCUUGUAAAAAGGGGGAGAAAUUGGAAAAGGCCACUGACCAGAGGACUUUGCCUUGCAGGGCGUGCCCGCGCUUUACAGGACUUUCUCCCUUGAAAAAAAAAAAAAUCCUGAAGAGACCUCGUGACCACAGGACUAUGGGCUCCAAGGCGUGCCCACGCCUUGCGAGCAGCUCUCUCCAAAAAAAAAAAAAAAAGAGAGAAAGAGAAAAAAAAUUGGGGACACUUGUACAGUGUGUACAGCAAAUGAAAACUGCCUUGUUUGUGGAACCCCUCCGAUAAGGCACUGUGGUUAUUGGUGAGUUUCGGACAUUCUCUUGACAUUUUACCCCCUAUCUACACCUUCUUAACCCGCCUUUCACCCGAAACCCCAUUACAACCCUAUUAAAGUCCCUUUGAUUUAUGUGUUUAGUUCACUUUUAAGUGGUGGAGAUGUGAUAAAUGUGCAAGCCUAUGGUAAUGGCAUUCCGUGAUGUUGAAUUGAGCGUUUCUAUUAUUCAUAUAUAUUCUUUGAAUUACAACAUGUCCGGUGUGUUCUACCUUUGGUGAUAUUGUCAGGGACCCUAGAUGCUUGUGUUAGUAUAGACUACUACAUGACCUCUGCUCUCUUGGUUGUACUUCUGAGCUCCGAAAUGCUUGAGGGCAAGCAUUGUCUAGGUGUGAGGGGAUUUGAUAGAACGGUUAUUUGGCGUAUUUUACACUGUUAUUUUGUCCUAAUUUUGGCUAUUCACGGUACUAAGAAUUGGAAUUUCACUCAUAUUCGAUAUUUGUGUGAAUUGUAGGUGGUAGGCAUGAAAAAUGAUCUCGCGGGGUAAAUUUCCAGAAGACUUUUCGUCUCAGGACGUGGCCACGCCUUAGAAGGUGGACGAAAUCGAAAGCCGGACUGCGGUCCACGUGAACCGCGAGAAGCAUGGGAUAAAAACUCCAAAAGGAUAGCUUUUGUUAGAUGAAUUACUCCAGACGUCUCCUUUCUUUACUUUCUUUUGGGCGGCGGCUAUAAAGAGAAAAACAAGAUUCAAAAAGUGAAAAGAGACCCUAGCUUUAGCUUCAGAAGUCAGACGCUUUUUAUUUAUUCUUUUGCUCUCCGUCGGCCGCAAUUAGAUUAGUUUUGAGUUUUCUUUUUCUUCUCUUUCAGUCAGACGUAUUUCUUUUUUCUUUUAGCUUUCGUCUUGUACGGCUUGACUCCUGAGUUGUUACUCUUGCUUGAGACAAUUCGCGUUGAAUUUCUGCUUUGUGAUUGCGACCCCAAUUCUUCGGCAAAUAAUCGAAUGAAUUCAAUUAAAUCACGCGGGAUUGACACGAUGAGGAGCGGCUAAUUUCCUCAUCUACCUAAAGGUUGACACAAAGGCGCGGUCCAUAAUAUCUGUGAGAUCUAAUCGAAUCUUCAUUAUUUCUUCCAUUUUAUUGCUAUUCGUGCGUUUCCUGAAUUAAUUGUUCAUGGGUAUUUUAUUAAUUGAAUAUCAACGGCCGGGUAUUUGAUUUAAUUUAAUAGCCUACUGCCACGUUAAUUAAAUAGAAUCCGUAAUUGUUCAUUUAGUUAACACCCCGUGGCAACCACUAUAAUUGGCUUUAUGAUGGGAAAAUGCAAUAUCUAAUUUAAAUAAACCCUCUUAGCGUGUUUAUUGGUUAGGGUUGGGUUCUUCUAGUUUUAAUGCAAUUGGGUAAUUAAAUUCUUACGGUCGUACCUAGGGUUGUUAUCUGGUUAGAGAAGAAGUCAAUGGUCGUACCUUGACUGUCGAAAAAGUAAGGAAGAACUGGUUGUCAGAGCUUAUUGAUAACUAUAACCAACCUAACAAGGAAUAGAUGAAAUAUCUUUGCAUCGAUGAUCAUUUAAUUGGACCGUGCCUGAGCAGUUGAUCCUUUGGGUAGAACUUUUAUCAAUUGCUAUUUUUAUUGAAUUGUGCUUUGUGAGUUAGUUCUGAAUUUAGUUCGCUUUAUUUUUAUUUUACUUUUAUUCUAUUUAUUUAUCUCCCAUUGAAAAUCCCCCAAUUUUGUUCUACUAAUUUGGAAAGAAAUAAUUUUCUACCCGCUCCCUGUGGAAUCGACCCUACUUGCCAUUGUAUGCAAAAUUAAUAUUUUUAUAGACAAAUCCGGUAUAUUGGAUCAAGCAAACUCUUCGGGAACAGGGUGAAUCAAGUAACCCAUUGCACACCUAGGGUCCCUGCUCCAGUACUUGGAUUUGUUUUAUGAUUAUUUAAUUGAGGUGGUAAUUAGGACUUUUUAGUAAUUAUUAUUGCACAGGUUCGGCACCUGUCAAUGACCAAAUCUAACAAGACAAUUUAUUUACUUUAAUACCCUUUUAGAAAUUGAUUUUAUGGUUUAAGUCUUUACUUUGCUAAUAAUUAGGGUAAAUUACUUGCAACCCUUGUGGUUUCAUAUGUUGCCAAAUGGCCCCCUCAACGUUUCAAAAAAUCCACUUCAUCCCCUUGUGGUUUUAUAUAAAGUGGAAAUUUGACAGAAAAUACCUAUGUAACGUCGUUAGUUGAAAUACUAAUAGUGCCCUUAUUUAAAUGCUACAUUAAUUGACGGGAUAAUCACUUUGUUCAAAAAUAUAGGGAGAUUAUAUGAAUAAAUGUAAAAAUCACAGGGAAUAAAAUGGAUAUUUAUACAAAUCAUAAGUUGGUUAUAUAACUAUUAAAAUUUUAUCACAUGCGUUUUAAAGCAAUUUUGGUACAAAUGCUGUAAAUGGUUAUGUAUUCCGUCCAUUUUUCAAUUUACAUAAAAUUACAUAGGGGUUGUGUGGCUAUUUUAAAAUCUUAGGGGGAUCAUCUGGCAUUUUUUAAAAUCACAAGGAGUAAUAAGGUAUUUACCCUAAUAAUUAUGAAUUCUAUUUUCUAAACUCACACUUGACAUGUAUACAUCUAUUUUUUGUUUAACAACAUCUUUUAAAGGGAUGACAAUUGUGGCGAGUACUAGGAAACUCAUGGGACGAGGGGUAAUUUUCAUCCUCUCUAUCCCUUGACCCGUUCCCUGCCUUAAAACAUACACACACACACAUAUAUAUAUAUAAUAUUAUUAGUUGUAAAUAUCAAAUUAUGCAUAUGUAAUAUAAUUAAUAUUCUUAGUUAUACUAAUAAUUAUAUAUUUAUACUAAUAUAAACUAUUGAUUAGUUGUACUAAUACAUUUUACUAAAUUACUAAUUAUACAUUUAUGCCAAAUACUAGUUACAUUUUUUUUUUACUAAUUAUAUAUAAACUUAUUUCCCUCGCAGGCACCUGUAGGGAAAGCGGGACGAGGUAGGGGUGGAGCGGAAGAAGUAGGGGAUAGGGGGUAGGGCAGGAGUAAGGUGUGCUUAGGCAACCUGGGGGAUUGGGAGGGGGUGGAAGGGAAUCAUUGCCAUUCCUAAUCUUUUGUAUGACAUUGAAAAAAUAAUAUUAUGAUUUAAUGGUAAAAAUAUUAUGAGUAUACAACAACUUUGGUGAAACACAACCGUAUUAAGAAUUGUUUAUCAAAGCUAAAUCCAUAAUAUACAAAAAGCUCAAAAUAAAUUUAAAAAAUUUGAAAAUAAAUUCAAAAAUCAAUAGAUCAAGGAGUUCCUAUUUAGAUACUUUUUGUAACAAUAACUGGUUAAAGAAAUUAAAAAUAUAAAAUAUCAUAUUAUCACGUACACAAUCAAAUUUCACAAAAAAAAAAUUAUAUAUAAGAGAUGUUAUAUUUGGGUUAAUAUAAUCACGUGCAAAGUACGUGAACUAUUACUAGUACGUAUAUAUAUGUUUGUACAUAGUGUUUUCACUAAGAGCAUGCCCUAUUUCAGCUAUAGUUUCUUCCGUGCCACUUAAAGAUUUGUACUAACUUGCAGAUCUUGAUAAAAUCUUUUGUGUAUAUAUAAGGAAAACUGAACAAUCCAAACCAGUAAUUUUAUAGUCUUUUCUAAAGAGAGCAAGCUGAAAAUCUAUUUGGAAUUUCCAUAAAUUCACACCACCAAAAUCAAAACACCAUUCAGGUUACCUAACUUGCCUGAUAAAAGAACAGAUAAGAAGUUUUUUAACUAGUGACUGCAUGAUCCAAAUCAAUAUAUAUGUUUGUAUCUAGAGCUUUCUCCAACAGCAAGCUCUUUCGGGUUUUGAGGAAGUAAUCAAGAAAGAGGAUAGCUUUUGACGAGGACAAAAUGACGAGAAUGCCAUUUAAUUUUGUGACUACGUAUUAUACUUUGGGACAGAAAUAAAAUGAUAUUUAACUCUAAGAUGAUCACAAUAUUUAGAUUUUCAAUAUUAUUUCACUAUAUAAGAAACCAAGGAAAAUCUGAUGCAAUUUUAGGAAGCUACAUAUUUUUCGAUUGAGGGAUAAACGCUGUGAUUCUGUGGCUAGUUAUUCAUGUAUGACGGAUUUAUUUGUUUAGUUUUUUUCUUAGACAGACAGCAAGAAGUUGAUGGGCUUCUUAGUAGUCCACACCCUCAGGGAUUUUCCGUCCCCUACAUUCCAGCGAUGCCUUGUUGUAGAAUGUCAUUGCCAAGUGAAAUCACCUUCAGAUUUAUAGAGCCAUACGAGAUGGUAAAAACCAAUUUAUUGGCCAAUAAAGAUUGAGGUCUAUUUACAUAUAAGUUUGAGAGAACUUUUACCCAAGGCUUGGGGGAGUCUUUUAGGAUGUGUCAUCCCAGUUUUGCUAAGCCUGCCUUGUUGACUAAAGCAAUUUGUUUGAUGCCAAGGCCACCUUGGUUCUUAUUGAGGGUGACAACGCCCCAAUUGAUCAGGUGGAUUUUUCUUUUAGAGGGGUUUGAAAAGCUGUUCGUUCCCUAUCAAUGGCAUCACAAAUCUUUUUAGGGACAUGUGCAGCUUGGAAAAAAUAGUUGGGAAUGGAAGCAAUACUCUGUUGGAUGAUGGAAUGUGUGCCAGCCAAUGAUAGAAGAUUAGCCUUCCAUCCUUCAAGUUUAUGUAGGACUUUUUCCAACAAAAAUCGGAAGGUUUUGGUUGGGGCUUUUUGGAUGUUGAGGGGGAUACUUGCCCAAAUCUGAGGUGGGACUGAUACCUAAAGGGUUGUUGGAGAAGAGAAUUUUUUACUUAGAAAGAUUAAUCUUCAAACCAGAGAACACAAAUUUGAUGGUUUUAAGAGAAGUUAGAUCAGUUUUGGAAUAGAGGACAAUGUCAUCAACGAAGAGAUAAUAAGAGAGGAAGUCCAUACUUCAACGUUCUGGAGGCCAAACCAACAAUCACACCAAUCUGGAUCAGGAAUCUGUUAAAGAUUAAUGCCAAGACAACCAACACAGAAAGGGGUCGUUUUGCCCGCCUCUGCAUAGAACUUGAUUUACACUCAACUUUGCGCCAUUCCAUCCUGCUAGACAGCUACUUGCAACCCAUCCAGGCGGAGAACUUCUCCUUCUGCCUACACCAUGGAAGGUUGUGUCAUCAUGACCUUGUUCAUUGCCCCAAACUACUUCACACUGUUCCUGCCCCAACCGCUCCACCGGAAUCUGGGCCAUGGAGAAAGCUUCCGGUUAAGCCCAAAGCUACUUCGAAAGGGUUACAGAAAGAAACCUCUAGCCCAACCCACCAAUGGUAAAAACAUUUCAAUUUCAAAUCUGACCUCCCAAUCCAAGCGCCAAAACCUUAGCCAGUCGCGGCAGACAACGUUAAAUGCGUAUAACAGACACAAACACAAAGCACAUCUAAACCAGUAGACAGACAGUCUAUAAAAGCCCAUCUCAUCCUUCCUUGAAGCACUCUCAAGCAAAGAAAAGCCAAGUUCUUAAAUUGUAAAACAAGAUAAAAGAACUCCAACAAAUCUACACCUUCUCCACUCUGUCAAGUCCGGUUAAUAACAGGGAAAAUUUCAAGAAAAGGGCAUGCUUGGAACCUAUUUGACAAAGAACGCACAAUGUUCGGUGAGCAAAUUAUUCGGAUGGCCACUAAAUUAUUAAAAGUUUGGUUUUGACUAUUAAAACGUCAAAGGUUAAUAUUCGAGGUCAUUCUGAUAGAUUUAAUCGUUAAGUAUGUCAGAUCUGACUACUCGUGCGAUUAUCAAGACAAAACAAAGGGACAAUUUAGGAAGUUCGACAAACAAUUUAUUUUGUCUUUGUCCUCUCUUAAAUUUACUCCCUCCAACAACUACAUCGGUGGCUAGCGAUUUCCUUUACAAAAUAAAUCUGUUCUCUCAUGAUAUCUUCUCCUCCAAAAUAAAUGAAAUCCCACGGCCCUUGACAUUCGUUCCGAACUGUUCUCUGUUUUCUCGCCUCUGUAUUUCUUCAACUUCAUCCUGUUUCCAGUAAUCUGGCAAAAUUUUACGAGACCUGUGGGAAUGUACUCAGCUGCGGCAGCAUCACUGGAAUAGGAUAUCCUUUCCGAAGAUACGAAGAUCCAACAUAUAUACUGUGGCUAUCCGGGGCUAGAGUUAAGAUGCGAUCAGAGCAGUAAUGUUACAAGAUUUGAGAUCAAGAACAUGACAUAUUGGGUCUUGGAUAACCAUCCAACCACCCAGACUUUGAGAGUUGCUAGAGAAGACGUGAUGGAGGACAAUUGUCCUACUGAUUUAGUAAACAUGACUCUAGAUUACACCUUGUUUGAUUACUCCGCGAGUUAUAUAAACAUCACGUCUCUCUAUGGCUGCCUAGUCAAUUUACCCAACGUUCUUUCCUGUGGGAGCAAUGGAAGCAAUAAUGCCUCUGUCUUGCCUGGAGAAGUUGGUCCUGGAAAUUGAGGGCCGUUGUGGUAUAUCCGAUACUUCAAACGGGUAAUGGAGGAUCCGUUAAUUUUAUUGGCUCGGAUCAAGUCCUUCGGCAAGGGUUCGACAUCAGAUGGAAAGCGGAUACUAGUAUACGCAAUGAGUGCACGAGGUCCGGUGGAAGGUGUGGGUACAGUGUUCGCUUAAAAAAUGGACAAAAUAAAUUGUUUGUGCAACUUCCUAAAUUGCCCAUUUGUUUUGUCAUAGGAAUCGCACGGAAAGUCAUAUUUGACAUACUUAACGACUAAAUCUAAUGGAGUGGCAUCGAAUCUUAAUUUUAGACAUUUCAAUGACCAAAAUCAGAUUUUUAAUAAUUCAGUGGCCAAAACUCGACGAUUGCAAAAGUUUAGUGACCAUCUUGAUAAUUUGCUCAUGUUCGGCUAUAUAUUGAAGGCCUUCAUGUGUGAAAUGUAUUUUCAUGUACACAUACUGGUACAUUUUGUACAAAUGUCAGUGCAAAUGCCCUUCACAUUCGGCCUAAAAAACUGAACCCUUUAUUGAUUAGGGCUUCAAGGGCACCCUUUUCACUAAUUUAAUUUUCCAUAAUAAUUCUACAAGAAGUCGCAGGAAACAGAAGAAAAUCUGCAUCUGUGAUCCAGCAACGCAAUAACCAAUCUAUCUAAAGGUGGCAAUAUGUCCCAUGUCCCAAUGGACUACCCAUUCCGGGAUAGGUAUUCUAAUUUUAAUGUUGAGUUUGAAAUGGGACUUAAUCCCAUUUAUUCCCAUUAAUUGAUGAGAAUUUUUAGGAAAUUCUUAGGUAUCCAUUGGGGCCCCAAGUAUUUCACUAAAAAUUUGCUCAAUCAAUUGUUGUAUGUCUUUUAGUGACACUUGUAAAUUACUUUUAUUCUUCCAACUAGGUCCUUCAUAUUUUUCUUGUAAUUAUGCUUAAACCCCCCAUCUAGUUUCCUGAGCUCUUUUGUCCCUUAGAAAUCAAAUUUUUUUAAUUUUUUCUUUUUUCAUAAAAAUUCUGUCGUCAGUCUCAAUUUAGAGUACUUUUUGAAAAAUAUCGAAAGAACGGGAACUUAAUGGUUUUGAACUCUUUUUCUAGUAAAAUACUGAUCAAAAUGAAUACUGAGAGUAAUAUGAAAGUCAUUAAUUUAUACUCUUAUUAGCAAAUACUUUGUCUAGUUUUGAUAGUUUUAUGAUGGCUUAUAGUUCUAUAUGCCAUUUCUUUAUACUCAUAAAGACAAGUCCUUUAAGUUUGUAUAGGACUUAUUUUUUUGGGAUAAUUGCAGAAACCUCCCCUGAGAUUUCUGACAUUUGCAAUGACCUUCCCUCUAGGUUUAGAAAUUGCAUUCACCUCCCCUGAACAUUAACAAUUCGUUGCAGAAACCUCCCUCACAGCUUGAUGUCCCAUUAAAAAAUUAUUUGUAGAAGUGAGAUAAAACAUUUCUUCCAAUUUUGCCCUCAUCUUGCUUGACAAUUAUUAUUUGCUUGACAAUUGCAUAACUAAUUAUCUAAUUAGUUAAUAGUUAAGCUAAUUAACUAUUAACUAAUUAACUAAUUAACUAAUUUCUAUUUAUCUAAUUUACUAAUUAACUAAAGCUGUUGUCUGUCUGAAACUAACAAACUAUUUGCAUGUUAACUGCUUAACUAAUUAACUAAUUAACUAACUAACUGAUUAACAGACUAUUUGCAUGUUAAACUAUAUGCAGUACGCAUUACCUAUUUAAAGUAUUGGCUCUUUAUGGGUAUUUUACUUUCAAAUAUUUAAUUUAUGAUAAAAACAUCAAUGUUUGUAAGUAAAAUUCAAAAAGUGUUACAGUAAUAUUCUUACAAAAAGGGAGGGAUAUAGGGCCAUAAAUUAAAUAUUUGAAAGUAAGAAUAUUGAUAUUUUUUGUAACACUUUUUGAAUUUUACUUACAAAUAUUGAUAUUUUUAUCAUAAAUUAAAUGUUUAAAAGUAAAAUACCCACAAAGAACCGAUACUUUAAAUAGGUAAUGCGUACUGCAUAUAGUUUAACAUGCAAAUAGUCUGUUAAUCAGUUAGUUAGUUAAUUAGUUAAGCAGUUAAUUAGUUAGUUAGUUUAACAUGCAAAUAGUUUGUUAGUUUCAGACAAACAACAGUUUUAGUUAAUUAGUUAAUUAGAUAAUUAGUAAAUUAGAUAAAUAGAAAUUAGUUAAUUAGUUAAUUAAUUAAUUGAUAAUUAGUUAGUUAAUUAGUUAAGCAGUUAAUUAGUUAAUUAGUUUAACAUGCAAAUAGUUUGUUAGUUUCAGACAGACAACAGCUUUAGUUAAUUAGAUAAUUAUUUAAUUAGUUAAUUAGAUAAAUAGAAAUUAGUUAAUUAAUUAAAUAAAUAAUUAGUUAAUUAGUUAAUAGUUAAUUAGAUAAUUAGUUAAUAGUUAAUUAGUUUAACUAUGCAGAAAUAGUUUGAUUAGUUAAUAACUAUUAACAAUUAGAUAAUUAGUUAUUAGUUUAACUAUGAAGAAAUAGUUUGAUUAGUUAAUUAGUUAAUUAGAUAAUUAAUUAAUUAGAUAAUUAGUUAAUUAGAUAAAAUAGAAAUUAGUUAAUUAGUUAAUUAAUUUAACUAUGCAGAAACAGUUUGAUUAGUUUAAUUUGUUUAACAAAUUAAACGUUGGUUUUGAUGAAAGUACUCAAACCUUUCAUCUGGUAAAGUCAAAUCCAAUAGGGGUACUCUAGUAAUUUCACACAAUUUUACCUUUUAAAUUAGUUCCAACUUUUUCUAGGGGAGGUUAAUGCAAUUUCAAAAUUGAUAGGGGAGGUCAGUGCAAAUGUCAGAAAUCUCAGGGGAGGUUUCUGCAAUUAUCCCUAUUUUUUUCUCAACUAAAAUUUAGCAACAUAGGAAAUCGAAGAUAAAAAAAAAUAUAUGCAUAGAAAAUAAAUAAAAGAAAAUUUGAGGGAAAAAAGAAUUCACGAAAAUAUAAAUUCACAAUAAUGCUAAAAGAAAUUCAAUAAAUCAAAAUUAUUAAAUUUAUAUAAAAAAGAAUUAAAAAAAGAAUACAAAAAAUAAAUUUGAGUAUUGGACGGAAUCAAUCCAUACCCAUUCCAAAGGUAUCUCGCCCAAAUUAAUCCCAAAAUAUAUAUGAAUAAAGUUGAAUUCAAACCCAUAUUACUCGGUCUCAUGUCAGGCCCAAAUAAAUCCUAUUCAUCCCGUCCAUUUUGCCACGACAAAAUUACCUCUUUCCUCUUCCUUCCCAUGUUUUCAAUCCAAUACCACCCAUAUCUAGACCCAACCAAAAACAAAGAGGAAAAAAUAAGUGCAGUAAAAGUCUUUGUCAUAUCCGAAUCAAAGUGUCAAACGGAGGUAAAUUACAUAGAAACUUCAAAAAUGAAAGAGAAAAAAAGAUACAAGCUCUUUUGUUUUUCUAGUAUAGAUAAGAACCCAUAUGAAAUGAAGAAACUCUACUUAGGAUUGGGAUUUUCCCCCUCCUCACCAUUUCUCAAAAGCUAAGCUGAAAAUUCUCCUUUUUUUUUGCCAAUUAUUUUUCCGUCAAAAGACUACGCGAAAUUGAGGGGCGUCGGAGCCUUGAGCCGGCAGAAUCCCCCAGCGGCAAGGUUCGAGCUCUUCGGAAACAGGGCAGAAGCCACGAGGGUGACCUUAUCAGCAGAAGCGGCAGCGGAACCAAAUUCAAAAACGGUGAUAUCAGCUGGUGGUGGGCCGGGCCGCCGGACCUCCACUGCUCCGUUUAUGGCGGGAACUUCAGAAGCGGAUUGGGUUUUUGGGUCACGGGUUUGGAGUUGGUAUCGUUUUUUGUUCCCUUGAACCAUGAAAAAAAUACCCAUUGGUGGUGAAUCACUUAUGUUGCUCACAAAAAGAAUUAGUUAGAACUUCUAGGCAAUCCAGUUUAUCUGAGGAAGAAAUCAAGAAAGAGGAUGGCUUUCGUUGAGGGCAAAAUGACGAGGAUGCCAUUUAAUUUUUUGUUACUAGUAUCAUAUUUUAGGACAGGAAUAGAACGAUAUUUAACUAUUAGUAGAUCAUCAUAUAGAGUAUAUAGAUUUUCAAUGUUAUUUCCCUGUGUAACAAACCAAGGAAAAUCUGAUGCAUUUUUUAUUUUUCUCUAUGUGGUUUGGAAAAAUGGAUCUAGAAAGCUACAUAUUUUUGGAUUGAGGAAUAAACACCAUGAUUCUGUGGCAUGAUGGAUGGAUUUGCAUUUUGGCCUUCAACUCUUUGCUGAGCUGCAUCUGCUGUGAGUCACCCUUUUAUUUGUUUAGUAUUUUUUUUCUCUUACAUACGCAGCUAGAAGUUGAGGAGCUUCUCAAAUCCCAUUUUUAUGCUCCUAAAAAAUUGGCAAAUCUAGAGAAACUUUAAGAAAUAAAUCAAAAUUGGGAUCAGACCCUUUUGUUAUCUAAAAUUGAAGAGUGAAAAGAAGAUUGUCAUUCUCAAAUUUGGCACUAUGCUAAUCUUUAUGUAGACUUACGGGCAAAUUGAUUCCUGUACUCAGUUAUCGUUGAGCUCAUGAUCUCACAAGUGCCUAUUUGGGGAGGUAGGUAAGAAUGCUUCAUUUGGUGAAGUUAAAAUUAAAGAAAAACAGUUAAAAAAAAUACAUUAACAAAAUGCAGCAUAUGAACAAGAUGAUGAUGCAAUGCAGCAUACUACACGUAGUGGAGAAGAUAGAAAACUUCAGAAACUUCUCAGAAAAAUAGAAGAAGAAGUGAAAGCAGUGUCGUCAACAACAGUGAGGGAAAGCAAACAAAGAGAAAGGAAAGCCACAGGAUGCUACUAGUGCUAGGCAAGGAAUGUUUUCUUCUUCUUCCCCCAUAACCGGCGGAUUCUCCAUUCCCCAUCAUCGGCAUAGAAACCAAUGACAAUUUCAGGAAUGUGUGCCAUUCUUCUGUAAUCUUCACUGUCUUCCUUUUGAUUCUCUACCUUCUCUAUCAGUCGAGAACUCAUCUCAUACAAAUGCAGCUCUUGAAGAUGGCUCAAGUGCUGAAUUGCCGAAGGUAAGUCCUCCAGUGAUGGAAGUUGAUACAGAACUAGUUUUCGGAGAUUUGGGCAGGCACCCUCCUCCACUGUCAUCCAUCUCAACCCUUCCAUUCUUAACGACAACCGUUUCAGCUUUAGGAACCCUCCAGCCUUGAAACACAACCUUUCUCCCUGGUAAGAUCCAGAGAAACUAAUUUCAUCCAAAUUGGGCAAAUGUUGGAGGGAUUCAAGUGGAUCCUCCUCAGCCCUUAACCCGCUCCAGUUCAUAACUAUUUUUACCAAGUUUUGAAGAUGAGCUACCCAUCGUGGCAUCUUUUCUAAGCAGCCAAACAUAAUUAGCACACGAACAGAUUGAAGAAACGAACAAGAAGUAGAAGAAGAAAGAGAAGGAUGAUGAUGAUUUAGAUCGAUUAUCUCAUGAUCAUCACCUUUUCCAAUUGAUUUAACGCUUAAUUCCCGAAGGCUGGUGAGGUUGGCAAGGGAGGAGCAGAGCUCCUUUCCAUCUUCUCUUCUCAACCGUGUAAUACAUAACUCUCUUAAUUGGGUCAAUUUUCCUAUCUCUUUGACUAUUACAGACCCACUACUUGCAUCUAUGGCCUUUAAUGUUUGUAGGGCGAGAAGCCCUCCCAAUUUUGAUGGACCUUUAAACCCAUGAAAUCCAUAACUAUCAUCCGAAGGAUCAACCAGUUGUAAUACUAUGAGAUGCCGAAGCUUUUGCAGCUUUAGGAUUUCCACGGGUAAUUCCCCAAAUUUAGAUAUUCCAAAUGUUGAAGCUUUCCAAUAGCUCUCGGGACUCUUUCUACUUUUGUACCACAUAGGCUCAGAUAUGUGAGAUGCAACAAGUUGAAAAUCUCAUUUGGUGUUUCCUCUAUCUCUUCACCUUCCAAAUCCAAAACCUUUAGCAACUUGCUACUCCUUAGAACUUCGCAUAAGAAAGUUUUGGACGGUAAUGGGUUGGUAGAACUAAUCGUGAUGAAUGAUCGAAGGUGUUCAAAGGAAUAGAAUUGUCUUUGUUGGUGGUAUCGGAUGUUGCUACUGUUACUACUACUAUGGACUACUAGACGGCGUACCUUCUCAGAUGGCCACGUCAUUGGUUGUCCCGUAGUAACUGUCACCAUGUUUUGUUUCCUUGACUUGAUGAGAAUAACUUCUCUCAUUAAGUCAUGGAUUCGACAUGUGUAGGGUGAUCCUUCAUAAAACACACGAGUCACUUGAAUUAGGCUUCUGCUGAUGAGUUCACCGAGAUAACCCCAGGCUACAUCUUCAAUACUCAUUCCUUCUCUCCAUUCUACAAAUCUUUCAGCAGUCCAUAAUAGAAUCAGCACACUGCAAUCUAUUAGAUAAUCCUCCGGAUAAAUGCUUAAAUACAACAGACAGGGUUUGAGAUGCGAAGGCAGAUCAUUGUAACUCAGAAAAAGUAUCCUUUUAACUCUCUCUAGCUUACCGGCGCCUUCUAAUUCACCCCCAAGACUCUGUUGAAUCAUCUCCCAUUCAUCCAUUCUGCUCACGUCCUUCGAAGCCAAGAGCCCACCGAUCGCAAGAAUCGCCAAAGGCAAACCCUCACAUUUAUCCAAUACAGCUUUUGCAACAUCCAUCAGGUGGGCGGGGCAACGAUUUCCUUUAAAGAUCUUGUUAGAAAAUAGGGUCCACGAAUCUUCAAUUGAUAGUGGCUCCAUUUUGUAGACAUAAUCCUGAGAUUCUGUGCAAGAGGCAGAGGCUACAUCGGCUUUUCGUGUUGUUAGCAUGACACGAUUGCUGUAGUUACCCUCAGGCAGUGCAAAUUUGAUUUCAUUCCAAAAUUCCACGUCCCACACGUCAUCGAACACAAUUGCAUACCUUCCAGCUUGUUGAAGAAAAUUUUUGACAAAUUUUUUCAACUCAAUGGUAGAAAUAGAUUCGAUGAAUUGUGGGACUGAUUUGUUCAAUUCCUUGUGCAACUGCCAAAUCAAGUCUCUCAGGAGCUUUGGAAAGUCGCAUGUUUGAGAGACGGUUACCCAGGCACGAACUGGGAAAUUCUUUCUAACAUCUGGAUCUUCAUGGACCUUUUUGACUAGGGUAGUUUUGCCGAGUCCUCCCAUUCCAACCACUGAAACAACUUUGAGUUGGUGAUCGUGCCCCUCGAGAAGCUUAGAAAUCAGAUGUUGUUUGGGCUGGUCAAUGCCAACCAAUUUUGCUUCCUCCACUAGAAGUGCGUCAUCUCUGCUAUAGCGCCAUGAGUCGUUCAUGGUUGAAGAUCCAGUGACACGGUCAUCGAUGCCAAAUUCAACUUGGUAUCUCUGACGUCCUUCUGAAAUAUUUUUGAUCCUGGACUUUAUGCUUUGAAUUUCACUGGCAACCUGAUGACAAGCUCGCAAGCUCUUAAUGGCUUUGAGAAUUCUCUGCAGAGAGCCACAGAAUCCAUGAUGUCGGUAGCCAGCAAAAGCGAAGUACAAAUUCAUCGAGAACAUCUUCAAUGUCAUAAGCAGCUUCGCGCACUUGCUUGAUCCAUUCUUGGAGCCUGGGAUCAUCAUCUUCUUUUGCUUCAGCCACUUUGAGGAAAGCUUUCAUAUGCCCCAACUCAUCCUUGAUGAGUUGGACCUCCUGUCGAAGCCCUCCCAAUAGGCUUCCCUCCUCUCGGAGUAAGGUUGCGAGAUGAUCUGACACAAAAGAGACUACAGUUUCUGCCAUUUCUGACACAAAAGAGAAUGUCGGGGAAGGCGGCUUCUGGUUUAUAGGAUAGGACAGUCCAGUUGCAAUAUCUUGAAAGGAAGAAGGAAGAGGAAGUUAUAGAUUCAUAAGCUGAUGUUCUUCGGUGCAGUAUUUAUCAAAAAGAAAAACCGCGUUAAACAGACAAAGAAAGAAUUAACCAAUUAGAAGAAACUAAAGCAAGAAACAUCUGAUUGUGAAAGACAAAGCUACCUUACCUGCCACAAUACAAAAUCAUGGAAGCUAUUAAGAAGACUCAUUUCUGUUUGCACAUUCCUUCUUUCAACUGUGGGUCCUUUGGUCGGAUAAUAACAAAGGAGCACCGUUCAACUGUGGUCCUUCUUUACAAGUAGAAAUUCCAGGUUAAAACGCGGUUGGACUGGACAUUAUUGAUUUCUUUGACGAAGAAAUAAAACUGCUGCAAAAUGUUUUGCCCCUUCUGCUGACAUUAUGACAUAUAUAAGCUCCUCCUUCUAUGGAACUAAUUUCUGCUUUUUUUUUUUUCUUUUGACCCUUUGGACCAACUAGUUUGUAAUAAAAACGGAUGGAAUAUCAAGGAACAAACCAGUCCAACGCGGUGUAGACGAAAUUUACAGUAUAGACAUGAACGCGUGUUUGAGUAGUUAAAGUGGAAAGAGCACAAGAGAAUGAGAAGAAAACCCCACCCCAAAAGAAAAUUGACAGUUCCGAAUCAACUGGAAGCCAGCUAUGAGUUUUCCAGGAACAUGUGAUGCAGAGGAAAGUGAAUUUCUUCGGAGUGGAACAGAAAAAGCAACUCAAGACUAAGGAUGGCAACAGGAUGGCCCGCAGGAGGCUACCCCGCCCCGGAAUCCGUUUAAAAAAAAUAAAUAUAUAUGUGCAUAUAAUUAUAUAUAAAAUAUUUAAUUUAAUUAGUUAUAAACUUAUGAUAAUGAUAUUAUUAGUUAUAUGUAUUAUAUAAUAUAAUUAUCAGUUAUAUUACUAAUAUAUAUACUAAUAGAAAUUAUUAAUUAGUUAUAUUAAAUUUACUAAUACAUUUAUACUAAAUCUCUAAUUAUACUUACUCAAAAAAAAGCACAAGUAAAAUAAUGAAUUAGUGAUUGUAUUUCUAUCAAAAGUAAAAAUUUAACUACUUUAAUUGUAUUUAUUUCAUCAUAUUGGAUUGUAUUCACUAAUUUUUGUUUGAUUAUUUUUAUAAGUUUCAAUUGUAAAAUUAUAAUGAAUAAUAAUUUAGUAAUGUAUUGAUAUUUUAAUACUUAAUUAUUUAUUAAAAUUUAAUUAUAAUAAAAUUAUAUAAUAAAUUUUUAUUAUGCUGUCAGGAACGCAGGAUGGAAACGGGGACGGGGAGAGGGGAGGGGGUGGGACGAAGCUGCCUUACCUCCCACAAUAUAAAAUCAUGGAAGCUAUUAAGAAGACUGUGCACAUGUCUUCGGGACCUUCUUUCAACCGUGGGUCGGAUAAAGAUAAAAAGGAGCAUCGUUCGAUUGUGGGUUUUUUAAACAGCUCGCUUUAGUGUGGGGUGGGAGAUUAAGAGUUCAACCUUCGCUUUAGUGAUGGAAUUGACCAUCACUUUUAGUGUGGGGUGGGAGAUUAAGAGUUCAACUUUUGCCUUCUAUCAUAGGUGGCCACCUAAUGUGGCUGUGCUUAAGAUUCAUGUGGGUGCUUUGCACUCGUAUGGUCCGAUGGUGAUUUAGUCCCCAUCGAUUCCCUGUGACCCUGUUGGGUUACCUCCCCUUGUAUAGGUUAGAUUAGAACUAAGAGUAGGUGUAGACGUAAAUGAUGACAAAUAAUAAAAAAAAAAAAAAGACUGUGGGUUCUUUACGAGGGGAAGGACAUUAUUGAUUUCAUUGACGAAGAAAUAAAAAACCUUACUCUAUGGAACUAAUUUCUGCUGACCAAUUAGUAUUUGUAAUAUCAAAGAAAUGUGAACUGUAUUAAUUUAAGAGGUCAAUGAACAGCGUGCAAAUUUAGCAAAAAAAAAAAAAAAGGAAUUGCAGAAAAUGGUAAGGAGUAGAUUAAAAAUAAUCAAUUUUCUUUACAAUUAAGGAUUACAAAUUUGUUGGAAUAGCUGUACCACUCAAUCAUGACGUGGCUUAUUUCUAUGCCCUCCACUUUGUCAAUUAAUUUAAUGUCUCAUUUAUAUCAUCUUUGCAGCUAUCUUUUUCAACUGCAUGGGGAAAAUUAUAAGUUUCUUUUUUAACCCAAUCAAAAACCAAUUAAUAUCACAAAGUCAGGGGGGAUUGUAUUGCAGAUAUUGGUAAGUUUAGUGUUGAUUGCAGCGUUAGUUAUAUAACUAUAUCUAUUACGUGUUUUAUGAUAAGGAAGCUGCAAGGUGCCUUGUGGCCUUUAUUUCAUGGUCAUUGCUUCUUAUUAUCGCUUUGACUUUUGUUGCUUUGUACAACAAUUGGUGGCCAAUGCUAACAGGUACUAGAAUGUGAGAUAUUUGGCACGAUGUCGAUUACCUAUUCUUGGAAUUCUCGUGCAACUUGCUCUUUUGGGCAUAUUUAAUGUGGCAACCAGAUUAACAGUUAAGCAUGUUGUCUCAAAAGAUGAGUAUCUGCACUGCUCUGCAAACUAUCCAAGAGGCCCUUUGUAGUUCAGAAUUAGUUAAUUUUGUUGCAUCAAUGCCUUCUCAAAAUGGUACAACUUUCGUUAGUGUCUGAUGAUUAUACGAUUGCAUUGUCUUGUUGCGGCAAUAAUGUAUGUGGUUCUACCGAUGCCCUUAAUUUUUUUGGCUGGCUCGGAUACUUCAUCUCUCUUCUCUGAAUCUCAAAGUGGGUAAGGUUUUUUUGUUUUUCCUUCCGUACUGUUUCUCUGAUGAGAUGCUUUUAUUCAAGUUCAUUUAUAUGGAUUUUUUUGGCCUUAUUUGGUUUUCAUGAGCAACGUGGCAACAGCUGGGCAGAUAUGACCAAAUUCUUAAAGCAUAGCAAUACCAAUCAUCUUAAAGCAUGCUGGAGUAAUUGGCUGGGGGGCAAUGGCAAUGGAGCUCUCAUCCUUUUUCACAUUUGUUCUAGCAAUCGUGUGUUUCAUUGGAACGAGCGAAGAUGAUGGAUAUAGCAUCCUUUGAACGCGACUCUCUUUAAAAAUUUCAACUUUUCCAUUGUGCGGAAAACGUAGAAGUUGCCUUUUUCUUGAUUGCUGAGCAUUGCCUCUCAUUUUGUGCUUUGUAAAUACAAGAGUGGUUAUUUUUUUCCAGUGAAUGAAUACCUGAGUUGCACAUUAAACAAUCUGACCAUAUUAUCAAAGAUACUCCUGAAGGCAGGCAAUUCGUAACCAUGGAACAGAAGUUGACCAGAAUGUUGUAUUACAAACACAUCAGUGUUCAUUGGGAACCAAGACAAAGCAUGGAAAACUUUCAAUCUACCUUUAACAAAUAAGAAUUGAACUGUGUCCUCUUUAUCCUUAAUUCUUUUUUCUGUUUCAACCAAGUUUAGCUGAAUAUCGAGAGUACAUACCUUUAAUCCACUUUAACCACAAAAAGUAAAACUGCUGCAUUCCCGCUAUCAUUAAAAAAAAAAAAAUUGGACUACUUUUUCCUCAUUAUGGCGGAAAGUACAUACUUUUCAUCACAUUCCAUCAUAUGGUGAAACCUAGAAAUAUUGACCUUGUAUUUCUUUUCUGUGAUAACAAUGGUUCAUUCGUCACUAAGCAAUCCAAUAAGCACUUGCAAUCAUAACUUUGCCAAAGAAAGAAGAAGAAGAAGAAGGGGGCAAAACAUGAUUGACAAACCAAAUAAAAUCUGAAAACUUAAUGUUGUAAUUACCACGCCCUCUAUGUGUUGUUCCAUAGCUGAAUUUUCCAAAGAAACAGGCAACUACACACCCUCUAUGCCUUCUUUUUUUUCUUAAUAGCUGGCAAACAUGUAGUGUUUUCAUCCAUUCUACUUUUCAAAUCAGUCCUUAAAAACUUCUACUUGGUACUUAACAUCAACCAAAAGCUUCUAAAGUCUCCCUUCCCUCAAAAUAUAGAAUCCAAAUCAUAGAAUCAAAUGUAAAAAAUGAAUGCAAUUGCUUCAAUUUUAUUUGACAAACAAACCAAGCAAAUGUAAAAGCAACUUAAAAAGCAUGAAGAGUUUAGGCUCAAAGCUUUCUCUGCCCACAUAUAUUUCAACAUGACUUGAUAUAUGCUCUACAUGGUACACCAAUUCAUAUAAGCUCAUCCUUAUUGACAGACAUAGUUAUAUACUUACAUACACAAUACACGAACACAUACACUCCCCAUCCUCCAUCCCCCUCGCAACCCUGCCAGCGCAAUCACAGACACAAACACAGAGCAGAUCUAAACUACUAGACAGAGAGUCUAUAAAAGCCCUCACACCAUCUCAUCCUUCCUUGAAACACUCUUAAGCAAAGAAAAGCCAAGUUCUUACAUUGUAAAACAAGAUAAAAGGACUCCAACAAAUCUACAGCUUCUCCACUCUGUCAAGUCCAGUUAAUAACAGGGAAAAUUUCAAGAACAGGGCAUGCUCGAACCUUAUUUGACAAAGAAAGCACAAUGUUCGGCUAUCUAUAGAAGACCUUCAUGCGUGAAAUGUAUUUUCGUGUACACAUACUGGUACAUUUUGUACAAACGUCAGUCCAAAUGCCCUUCACAUUUGGCCUAAAAACCUGAACCCUUUAUUGAUUAGGGCUUCUAGGGCGCCCUUUUCCAUAAUAAUUCUACAGCAAAUUGCAGGAAACAGAAGACAAUGUGCAUCUAUCAUCCAACAACGCAAUAACCAAUCUAUCACAACCUGACAAAUUAACAAAUUAACUUCUUUCCUCUUCCUUCUCAUGUUUUCAAGCCAAUAGUACCCAAAUUUGGACCUAACCAAAAAAAAAAGGGAAAAACAAGUGCAGUAAAGGUCUUUAUCAUAUUCUAAUCAAAGUGUCAAACAGAGCUAAAUUACAGAGAAACUUAAAAAAUGAAAGAGAAAAAAAGAUACAAGCUUUUUUGUAUUUUUAACAUAGAUAAAAACCCAUAUGAGACUGAAGAAACUCUACUCAGGAUUGGGAUUUAAUCCUCCUCACCAUUUCCUCAAAAGCUAAGCUGAAAAUUCUCCCUUUCUUUUUCGCCAAUUAAUUUUCCGUCAAAAGACUACGCGAAAUUGAGGGGCGUCGGAGCCUUGAGCCGGCAGAAUCUCCCAGCGGCAAGGUUCGAGCUCGUCGGAAACAGGGCAGAAGCCGGCGAGGGUGACCUUAUCGGCAGAAGCGGCAACGGAACCGAAUUCGAAAACUGUGAUAUCAGCUGGUGGUGGCCCGGGCCGUCGGACCUCCACUGCUCCGUUCAUGCCUGGAACUUCAGAAGCGGAUUGGGUUUUCACCCUUCAGAAGCGGAUUGGGUUUUCACCGGUUCGGAUUUUUGGGUCGCGGGUUUGGAGUUGGUAUCGUUUUUGGUUCCCUUGAACCAUGAAAAAAUACCCAUUGGUGGUGAAUCAGUAAUGUUGCUCACAAAAUGAACUAGUUAGAACUUCCAGUGAGAGAAAGGGUGGAGGGGUUCUAGGCAAUCCAGUUUUAUUUGAGGAAGAAAUCAAGAAAGAGGAUAGCAUUCGUU